rnacentral:lncRNA from 1 species
GAUGGUGUCUACUUUACAAAACUAUUUCAGAAUUUUUUAAGUAUUUUUGAUCAAAUAAAUGCAGCUUUGCUGAACAGAAGACAUCUUUCAGAAACAUUAAAUGUUAAAUUCUGAAACUCAUUGACCAUUAGUGUGUGAGGUCUGUGUGCAGUGCAUGAUGGGUAAGCAGGGUGUGUUUAUGUGUGUUCUGAAUCUCUGCAGGCAAAUGGAAAUGCAGGCAGCAGCAGAUGAACAUUGAGCGAGAGAGACGGUCGUCUAACUCAGGUCAGACGCGACUGAAGCGUGAACACUGAUGCACAUGGACACAGCUCUGCAUCAUGAACUCUUCUUCUGUGUGAAGCGCUGGACGAAAUAAAAGACUUGUGUUAUUCCUCAGGUUCUCCGUUUCAGGGUCACCCCGCGGUGCUGUCUGUAGCUCCUCCCAUCGUGGCUCCGCCUCCUCUGUCGAUGGGCGGUCCCUGUCCUCCUCCCCCUCCCCCGCCCGGGCCGCCGCCCCCCUCCGCUGGAGCUCCGCCCCCUCCUCCACCUCCUCUGCCUGUGGGUGGAUACGGUGGACACGCCCAGGAUGAUAGCCACACCCCCACGGGUCUCGCAGCCAUGGAUCGCCGGAGCCAAACUGCGGCGUGUGCAACGGCCGGAGGAGAACUCUGCGUCCGCAGCCAAGAGCGAAGCCAACCGCAGCAGCGGAGGAAGCGGAGGACUGAUGGAGGAGAUGAACGCGCUGCUCGCACGCAGGAGGAAAGCAGCAGACGAGAAGAAGGAUGGAGAAAACCAAACUGA